UAGGGAAUCUUCCACAAUGGACGAAAGUCUGAUGGAGUAACGCCGCGUGAGUGAAGAAGGGUUUCGGCUCGUAAAACUCUGUUGUUAAAGAAGAACAUAUCUGAGAGUAACUGUUCAGGUAUUGACGGUAUUUACCAGAAAGCCACGGCUAACUACGUGCCAC
rnacentral:rRNA from 1 species